UUAAGGCAAGGUUCUUUCUCGUUGACCAUUAAUUCUGUAAAAAAGGAGCGUAGCGGCGGGCUCGCAGAGCUAAGCCUUAAA
rnacentral:tRNA from 2 species